rnacentral:miRNA from 1 species
UUUCUUGUCUCUGUGUCGUCGUUU